CCCUUAGACGUUCUGGGCCGCACGCGCGCUACACUGAACAGUUCAACAAGUCUUAACCUUGGCCGAUAGGUCUGGGUAAUCUUUGAACGCUGUUCGUGAUUGGGAUAGACCUUUGCAAUUAUGGGUCUUCAACGAGGAAUUCCUAGUAAACGCAAGUCAUCAGCUUGCAUUGAUUACGUCCCUGCCCUUUGUACACACCGCCCGUCGCACCUACCGAUUGAAUGGUCCGGUGAAAUCUCGGGACGGCGGCUUGGUCGCUUGCGUCCGACUGCUGAAACUUGAUUAAACCAUAUCAUUUAGAGGAAGGUGAANUCGUANCA
rnacentral:rRNA from 1 species